rnacentral:siRNA from 1 species
GAUUUCACCCGUGGUAGUAUUUAA